rnacentral:rRNA from 1 species
GACGAACCGUGCGAACGUUGUUCGGAAUCACUGGGCAUAAAGGGCGCGUAGGCGGCUUAUCAAGUCAGGGGUGAAAUCCGGCAGCUCAACUGUCGAAGUGCCCUUGAUACUGACGAGCUCGAGGGAGGUAGGGGUGUGUGGAACUUCCGGUGGAGCGGUGAAAUGCGUUGAUAUCGGAAGGAACGCCGGUGGCGAAAGCGACACACUGGAUCUCUUCUGACGCUGAGGCGCGAAAGCCAGGGGAGCAAACGGG